GUUAUAAAUUACAAUAACAACAGCAGAUUGACAAUCUUGCCAAGAUCCCAGCAAGAUCAUGCCAAGAUCUUAGCCAAGAUCUUAGCAAGAUCAUGCCAAGAUCUUACAUAAAUCCUGCAAGAUCUUUCCAUGAUCUUCCAGGAUUUAUGUAAGAUCUUGGCAUGAUCUUGCUACAAAUCCUGCAAGAUCUU
rnacentral:miRNA from 1 species